UGAGGUGCACGUGGAUAACCUGCCUGACUCCCCGGGAUAACAGGCCGAAAGGCCUGCUAAUACCGGGUAAGCUCACAGAGCCGCAUGGCUUUGGGAGAAAAGGCCCUGCGGGGGGUUGGGGUCAGAGGGGUCCGCGGUCCAUUAGCUAGUUGGAGGGGUAACGGCCCACCAAGGCGACGAUGGAUAGCCGGCCUGAGAGGGCGACCGGCCACACUGGGACUGAUACACGGCCCAGACUCCUACGGGAGGCAGCAGUCGGGAAUUUUGGGCAAUGGCCGAAAGGGCUGACCCAGCAACGCCGCGUGAGUGAAGAAGGCCUUCGGGUUGUAAAGCUCUGUUGCCCGUGAAGAACGGUGCUUUCAGGAAAUGGGGAGCACUUGACGGUAGCGGGUGAGGAAGCCCCGGCUAACUACGUGCCAGCAGCCGCGGUAAUACGUAGGGGGCGAGCGUUGUCCGGAUUUAUUGGGCGUAAAGGGCGUGUAGGCGGUCUGUUAAGUCAGGGGUGAAACUCCGCAGCUCAACUGCGGACCUGCCCCCGAUACUGGCGGACUUGAGUACUCUAGAGGGCAGUGGAAUUCCCGGUGUAGCAGUGAAAUGCGUAGAGAUCGGGAGGAACACCAGUGGCGAAGGCGGCUGCCUGGGGAGAAACUGACGCUGAGGCGCGAAAGCUGGGGGAGCAAACGGGAUUAGAUACCCCGGUAGUCCCAGCCGUAAACGAUGAGUGCUNAGUGGUAGGGGUAUCGACCCCUCCUGUGCCGCAGUUAACGCAAUAAGCACUCCGCCUGGGGAGUACGGCCGCAAGGUUGAAACUCAAAGGAAUUGACGGGGGCCCCGCACAGCAGCGGAUCAUGUCGUUUAAUUCAAAGCAACGCGUAGAACCUUACCAGGGCUUGACCAUGUGAGGUACCCUUCAGAGAUGAUGGGGUGCUCCUUCGGUGGCGCCUUAACACAGGUGCUGCAUGGUCAUAGUCAGCUCCUGUCGAGAGAUGCUGGGUUAAGUCCGGCAAAGAGCGCAACCCCUAUCGUAUGUUGCCAGCAGGUAGAGCUGGGCACUCACGCGAGANUGCCGGCGACAAACCGGAGGAAGGUGGGGAUGAUGUCAAAUCAUCAUGCCCNUUAUAUCCUGGCCGACACACGUGCUACAAUGGGUGCGACCCCCAAUUGUCCGUGCACACCGCGAGUUUAGCGUGUACGGACAAUUGGGGGUCGAACAAAGCGAACCGAAACCGCGAGGUGGAGGAAACCGCAAAAGGCGCUUGUAGUUCAGAUCGCCGCCCGCAACUCGCCUGCGUGAAGCUGGAGUUGCUAGUAAUCGCUGAUCAGCACGCACGCGGUGAAUACGUUCCCGGGCGUUGUACACACCGCCCG
rnacentral:rRNA from 1 species